UACAGAGGUCUCAAGCGUUGUUCGGAUUCAUUGGGCGUAAAGGGUGCGUAGGCGGGUCUUUAAGUCAGGGGUGAAAUCCUGGAGCUCAACUCCAGAACUGCCUUUGAUACUGAGGAUCUUGAGUUCGGGAGAGGUGAGUGGAACUGCGAGUGUAGAGGUGAAAUUCGUAGAUAUUCGCAAGAACACCAGUGGCGAAGGCGGCUCACUGGCCCGAUACUGACGCUGAGGCACGAAAGCGCGGGGAGCAAACAGG
rnacentral:rRNA from 1 species